ACCUGGCUGGCUCAGUCAGUAGAGUGGGAGACUCUUGAUCUUGGGGUUGUGAGUUCAAGCCCCAUGCUGGGUA
rnacentral:tRNA from 1 species